CCAGACUCCUACGGGAGGCAGCAGUGGGGGAUAUUGCACAAUGGGGGAAACCCUGAUGCAGCGACGCCGCGUGGGUGAAGAAGCGCCUCGGCGCGUAAAGCCCUGUCAGCAGGGAAGAAAAUGACGGUACCUGAAGAAGAAGCCCCGGCUAACUACGUGCCAGCAGCCGCGGUAAUACGUAGGGAGCGAGCGUUGUCCGGAAUUACUGGGUGUAAAGGGAGCGUAGGCGGGGAUGCAAGUUGGGUGUCAAAACUACCGGCUCAACUGGUAGUCGCACUCAAAACUGCAGCUCUUGAGUGAAGUAGAGGCAGGCGGAAUUCCUAGUGUAGCGGUGAAAUGCGUAGAUAUUAGGAGGAACACCAGUGGCGAAGGCGACUUUCUGGACUGUACCUGACGCUGAGGCGCGAAAGCGUGGGUAGCGAACGGGAUUAGAUACCCUCGUACG
rnacentral:rRNA from 1 species